rnacentral:rRNA from 1 species
CACGUAGGGCGCAAGCGUUGUCCGGAAUUAUUGGGCGUAAAGAGCUCGUAGGCGGUCUGUUGCGUCCGCUGUGAAAACUCGGGGCUUAACCCCGAGCCUGCAGUGGAUACGGGCAGACUAGAGGUAGGUAGGGGAGAAUGGAAUUCCCGGUGUAGCGGUGAAAUGCGCAGAUAUCGGGAGGAACACCGGUGGCGAAGGUGGUUCUCUGGGCCUUACCUGACGCUGAGGAGCGAAAGCGUGGGGAGCGAACAGG